UGGGCAUGCACAGAGAUGCUGGCGGCCCUUGUGGAAGCCACAGGGCCACCAAAGGGAGAUAGCUGGGGACAAUCACUGGAGUCCCUCGGCAGGGGUACCCCACUGCCCCAUCCUGACCUCUGAAUCGGAGAAGGCAGUGUCCCAAUCAUUUUCCAGGCUCAGCCUGCCUGGCCUUUACUGACCAUCAGUCCUUGUGCACAGAGCAGCAUCCUUCCAGGACCUAAGCUGCCUCAGUUUUCUCUGCUUCCCUCCCUUCUGUCUACCUCUGACUAGAAGAAAACCUCCCAGGGCCAUCAGCCUCAGCUGCCACCAGUCUCUCAGCUUUCUCCACCUUAGGCUAUCACUCCUCAGCCUACACGUGCAAGCUCUUGGUAGAACCCGGUUCAAACCUUCAGAAAUGCUGCCCUCAGGGAAAACCCCAGUGCCCAGCAGCAUCCGCAUGGAAUUUGCAGUCAAUACAAGGUUCUGGAAUGCCCAACCUUUUGCACACCAUGGUCUGAUGUCAUCUGCAAGGUUCAGACCCAAGAACCACACAGCAGGUUACAAACAAACAAACAAACAAACAAACAAACAAACCCCAGGAGGCUAACAGCCUCAGAGUGACCAGCGGUGCCCACCUACGGGGCAUCCUCCCCGUUGGCCCAGAAAAAUGCCAUUCACCCUGCCCUCAUUCAGUGCCCAGAUCCCACAUUGCCCAGCCCUCUGCCUCGGUUGCUGCAUGAAGGAAGCUGUAAUGGCUCUGGAAGCCCUGGUUUGAGUUUUAAAAUAAAAUGUUGGGCUGUGGAGACAGCUUAAAGUGUUUGCUUUGCUCUAGCCCCAGAACCCGUGCUGUGGCUGUUGUUGCUGCUACUGCUGCUGCUAUUGUUGUUGUUGUUUUUAAAUCCAGGUCUAGUAGCACACACUUGUAACUCCAGUCCUGGGGACAUAGAGAGAGGUGGGUCCCUGGGCUCACUGACCUGCUGGCAUAGCCUAGCCUACCUGAUGAGUUCCAGGUUAGUGAUAGAACUUGUCUAAAAAAAAAAAAAAAUCAAGACAGAAGAUGCCUAAGGAAUGACUGACACGGACAUUGACCUCUGGUCUACACACACACACACACACACACACACACACACACACACACAAAAUCAAUCAAUGUGUGAGUGUUCCUAGGAGAACCAAGUUUGGUCUUCUGCCUCUCUUCUUGGUAGCCGAUGCUCAAAGAUCAGGAAUCAGAAUCAACAACUGGGCUGAGAUGCGGCCGCCAUGUGUAUUUUGGGGAGAAGCCUGUUCCCGCCCUCAGGAGCUGGAGAGAUGACGCAUCAGUCAAGGCCUUCUGCCCUUCUGAGAGCCUGUGUGCAGUUCUCAGCACUCACACCUGGAGGCUCACAGCUGCCUGUAACUUCAGCCCCAGUGGACCUGACGCCCUCUGGUGGCCUCUGUAGUUGCUGCACUCACAUGCCCAUACACACAAAAUGUUAACAUUGCCUUCUGUUCCUGGCUGACUUAUCCUGAAGUUCUUUGCUAUAACUUCUCCUGCAUGGAGAUUAAAAAAAAAAAAAAAGAAAGAAAUACCCAGCUAGGACUCUCCAGCUCCCCCUGACAAACCCACAUCCUAACAGCAAUGAAAUGGAACAGUCUAGACGCCAGUGAUACACUUUUCCAAGCAGGCCCACCUGAGUCCUACACCACCUGCUUCACCACAUGCCUGACCAUCAAGGCAAAGGGCUGUGAGUGUUCAGUGACUCUCAGCCUGGCUAGGGCACAGCUAAGGAACCCCGGUCUGCACACUGACUCAAUGUCUCUAAGCCUGAUCAUCAGCUCUAGAAAACCAUGGUGAUAGGACAAGUCUGAGCCCAAGACUCAGUUCCAACCUCCUGUGUGGCCACACCCCCCCACCCCUGCCAUGUGCUAACAGCUUCCUCACACAUGAGAACUCCACCCGUGUGAGAAAUCUCUGGUGCUGCAGACCACGCUGGAUGCACAAAAACUUUCAACAUUCCAAAGGAAGAAGAAGUGAGCUUCUCUGAGCCAGCGUUUGCAAACUAGAGGCUACAAGCCCCACCCCUGCCCCAGACAUAGUCAGCUUGCUACAGCUUUGGUUUUUUUUUUUUUUUCAUUGAAUUUGUUGCCAGCAAUAAAAAUUUGAGAGAUUCCCAAUAAAACUUCAUUCUUCUUGGUUUCUAAAAAUAAGCAAUCGUAUUCGUUAUUAUCAUCUUGUCGUUAUUAACAUUCGGUGAUUCUGGCUCAGUCAUGAAAUGCUGAUUAUCCGUCUCCUUGAACAGGAGGAAUCCUACCAUCUCACAGAGUAUAGUUCACUCAUUUUGACAUGUGGUCCACUGUCAGCCAUUUGGGGUUCGUGGCCUUACAGUAACCACACCCUGGCCUAGGAGGGUCAGUGGGAGGUAAGUGAUGACCAAUGAGGCUGUGGGAGAUGGAGUCCCCAAGCCCCAUCCUGAGGUUUACUGCAACUAGUCCCGGUGAAAAUCCCAGAAUCGGGGGGGGGGGGGGAGUGGGCGUGUUAGCUCCACCCAUCUCCAUUCCCUCACGAGUCUAGUGAACAAAGCCACCUGCACCACUGUAGCUGAGCACUGCACUAGAGCUGAGGACUGAGUGGGGACUGAGUGGGCAGAGCAGCAGGGAGGAGCUGAACUGACCACCUGCUCCUGGAGCAGCACCCUAGUGUCACCGAGAUCUUGAUUCCCCACAGAGCCAUCCAAAGUAGAUAUCAUUAAGUCCACUCCAUAUCUGAGGGCCUUGAGCCGAAGAUAGGAGACUGGAGGAGCCCCACCGCUCAGGUGCAGGGGUGACAUUGCAGAUGUCAACUAACUCGGUGCCUCUUUGUCACUGACCCAGAGUCCUUCAAGGCCAUCAUAAGACCCUAGAGUCAGCCUGGGAGCCUCAUUAGUCCUUCCCCGAGCACAGAACAAGGACUGGUCCAGGAGGUGGCAAGAGAGCCCAGCAGGAUGGGUGGGGUGGCCACCACUGGCUGCUUACAUCCCUGAUUCAUCCUGGCUUCCGUUCACAGUGCGGGUGAAGCUAGGGGGUGGGGCCACACUAAUGGAUUUCUGUCAUGUCUCUAACUGGGGGUGCUACUUAAGUAAAUCAGCAAAUUACGCCAACUGCACAAUUCCACGCUUCUGCAGUAGUGACUCUGUGGGGGCUGGGUGUGCAGGAAGCUGUCAGCUCCCCUCAGGAGCUCUACCAGUGGCAGACAACGAGAGCUGAGACCUACAGUCUCCAGGGAUUAUGACAGAGCACAAAGGACCACCUCCCAUGCCCAAGGCCAGGCAGCAGGAGGGAGCUGUACCUUCCCAGGGUGACAGGUUCAAAUAUCUGUUCCCUUCAACAAGGAAGAUGGACAGACCAACGGGAGCUGAACGGAGAGGCGGAUGGAGGAAUACACCUCUCGAUCAAUCCACCUGGUAGCGCUGACUUGUCUCCUUCACAUCAAGAGAGUCUCCAUCUUCCUGGAUCCUUCCUUCCCUUUAGGAGACGGCUUUCAGACUUACCCCUUCAUCUAUGUAAUUGCCCAUCUGUGAGGCUCCUCCGGUCCUCCUUGCUCUCUAGCUGACGGGGAGUAUGGAGGCCAGACUAAGGCUCUUCAAUGGCCUGCUCAUCACCGACUUAGAUAAAGCCUCCUCCUCUGCUUUAGGGCUGUGGCCCCUUGUUACAGGUUUGCCUUCCUGUCCCAGAACCCAGAACAUCUCUGAGUGUGGUAAGACAUCCUGUACAGCACCACCUUCCCACCCUCUACCUGCAUACAGAGAAGUGAGUGUACCCCCAUGCC